CCUGCCUCUCGUCGCCACACGGCGCAGCACUCUGUGAGGUGCCGUUGCCUGCCGACCUCCACAUCGGCAACGUCGUCUCCCACAUCUCUGAACUCUCUCCCGCUUUGGAUUUUGCUCUGGCCAUCGUAGGCUCGAGAUGCUGCCGUGUCGGCGGUACUCCUUAGCGUAGGCGCGGGCGCCCACCGUCUUUGCCCCUCCCCCACACCCCCUUCGUCAGUCGUUGUGCGGAAGGAUGGGGAGGGGUGCUGCUGUGUGCGCCGAGCGCCGCCUCCUCGUCGGUGCAGCGGGCCCCGCGCACGUUCAUCGGGUGAGCAAAUGCUUCAUGUCUUGCGCAGAGAACGUCGCUCGCACAAGAAUCUUUACCAUAUUCAGCGGCGACGCCGCUGACAGGUAGAUCGAUGGAUAGGGGCGGGCGUAGUGUGCCUGACCGGCCACGGAGCACAGCUAUCCUUGCCUUCUUGCGAGUUGAUGCAAGCCUCUCAGGACUCCGCACGUGCUGCGCACUUCCCUCCUCCGCGCUCUUCUCGUCAAUCUCUGCGCACCCCUCAGUCCAUCACUUGCACGUUGUAUGUGGUCGAGCUUCACACACACGCGGAUGCCCUAGAUGUCGAGAGAGAGGGGAGGAAACGGAUCCGCGGUGUUGCUCAGCCGUCUGCUUCGCAUGCUCCGCGCAGUGCCCGUCGUAUCGGCUACUUUCUAGCGAUGCUCACUUAUGGUGGCGGAACUCGCGCGCGCCCGGAAAGACACUACCCGAUGGGCCUUCUCCUCCCCCCCCCCAGCCUUUGCCGUAUUCGCCACCUGGCGACAGAACGCUGACUUUCCGGUGAGAGUCAAAGUGGGAGUUGGCAGCCAGCUACAGGCAGGUCGCAUGCAUGUCCGCGAGCGAGGCGACCCGUUCAACGGGCAAACGAAUGCCCCUCACGUACCCGUUCCAAGGCAGACGUGGCUGGACCGAGCCCUUCCGUUUCGUCCAUGGCGCUUCUUUGGAAGCACUACGUUGAUGAACGCAACAGCGGGUGACACUCUCCCGUGCCGUCGAGGAAUGGAGCGCAGAAUACCCCCCGGGGGGGGGGGGGGGGGGGGGCGAAGCGCUUACUGCGGAGUCGAAGAACUGCACCGAAACACGCUCGGGUUCGCACGACAUCUCAGCCGGGAACGGGAGGCUCGAUGGCGGUGGACAAGACUUGACGAAAGGAAGGGAGAGACCGGCAGACACGAUCGUCUCCUUCCUUCUCUCAAACUAGCGUGAGCCAAGAUGCGAAGUAAGAGCAGCCCAUGUGGAGCAGUGCACGUAAGUUGAUGCAGUGCAGCGGAGAGAGCACUUGUGAUCUAUUCAGUUCCGUAAAGCGCGCCUCCUCGACGCGCACAAAUCACGCCAGGUCGGACCAACGAGGUGUCCAUGUAGGUCUGGCGCCGGGUCGAGCGAACGUGCUUUAGCUAUCCCGCCGUAGCCCCUCCCACCCCCCCACCCUCCCACUUUUACUGUCUCUGCAUUCCGCCGCCACCACUGCCGUCUCUCAAUCGCCCCAGCCGCGGUGCCGAUGAGAGGAGGGAGGAGAACGACACUCCUGUAUGUGUUCCCUAUUCCUCUAUGCGCACGAGAGGGCAACGCACACGAGGCGCUGCCGCUGUGCAGUAGAACUGCGUCGCUGGGCGCCUACGCACCUGAGCAACUGCUGCUGUCCCGACAACUGAACCAGGAAGACGCAGCAGCAACGGGUGAUCGUGCGCUCCCUGCAGAGAACCACCCGUUAACAUGUUGGUGUACAUGGCGUGCCCUCAGUCUUGAAUCGCGCG
rnacentral:misc_RNA from 1 species